UCCUGUGUUGCUUGCCUAUCGUGACGGAAUUCGACUCCCGGAUGAAUUGUAAUUUUUGCCUCUCACCCAUUUGUGGUGUUGGGUUGACGCGGAAGUACUACCCAGUCCCAUUCUCGUUGAAUGCUUCGCCUGUUCGCGUUGCAAUCAUGUCCCAUGAGUGGCUCCUAGUUCCCUCGGAUGCAGAACUGUUGAAGGGUGCACAGCUUGUUGUUGUUGUUUACCCAGAAAGCGUUCAUCGCUCGAUGCGUACGACGGCUGUGCCUGUCUUGGUCCCCUUCUUUAACUAGUUUGGAUGGGGCUCAUGCGGUGCCGGCGUCGCGAAGGAAGGAAUGCUACCUGGUUGAUCCUGCCAGUAGUCAUAUGCUUGUCUCAA
rnacentral:misc_RNA from 1 species